rnacentral:rRNA from 1 species
UACGUAGGUCCCGAGCGUUGUCCGGAUUUAUUGGGCGUAAAGCGAGCGCAGGUGGUUUAUUAAGUCUGGUGUAAAAGGCAGUGGCUCAACCAUUGUAUGCAUUGGAAACUGGUAGACUUGAGUGCAGGAGAGGAGAGUGGAAUUCCAUGUGUAGCGGUGAAAUGCGUAGAUAUAUGGAAGAACACCAGUGGCGAAGGCGAUUCUCUGGACUGUAACUGACGCUGAGGCUCGAAAGCGUGGGGAGCAAACAGG